GAUGAAGAACGCAGCGAAAUGCGAUAAGUAAUGUGAAUUGCAGAAUUCAGUGAAUCAUCGAAUCUUUGAACGCACAUUGCGCCCCCUGGUAUUCCGGGGGGCAUGCCUGUUCGAGCGUCAUUUCACCACUCAAGCCUCGCUUGGUAUUGGGCAACGCGGUCCGCCGCGUGCCUCAAAUCGACCGGCUGGGUCUUCAGUCCCCUAAGCGUUGUGGAAACUAUUCGCUAAAGGGUGUUCGGGAGGCUACGCCGUAAAACAACCCCAUUUCUAAGGUUGACCUCGGAUCAGGUAGGGAUACCCGCUGAACUUAAGCAUAUCAAUAAGCGGAGGA
rnacentral:misc_RNA from 1 species